UAGGGAAGAAGGCAAUAAUGCAAAUAGUAUUAUUGAUUGACGUUACCUAUAGAAUAAGCACCGGCUAACUCCGUGCCAGCAGCCGCGGUAAUACGGAGGGUGCGAGCGUUAAUCGGAAUUACUGGGCGUAAAGAGUACGUAGGCGGUUUAUUAAGUCAGAUGUGAAAGCCCUAGGCUUAACCUGGGAACUGCAUUUGAAACUGGUAAGCUAGAGUUUUGUAGAGGGGGGUAGAAUUCCAGGUGUAGCGGUGAAAUGCGUAGAGAUCUGGAGGAAUACCAGUGGCGAAGGCGGCCCCCUGGACAAAAACUGACGCUCAGGUACGAAAGCGUGGGGAGCAAACAGGAUUAGAUACCCUGGUAGUCCACGCUGUAAACGAUGUCGAUUUGAAGGUUGUGACCUUUGAGUUGUGGCUUUCGUAGUUAACGCGUUAAAUCGACCGCCUGGGGAGUACGGCCGCAAGGUUAAAACUCAAAUGAAUUGACGGGGGCCCGCACAAGCGGUGGAGCAUGUGGUUUAAUUCGAUGCAACGCGAAGAACCUUACCUACUCUUGACAUCCAGAGGACUAUGUAGAGAUAUAUGGGUGCCUUCGGGAACUCUGAGACAGGUGCUGCAUGGCUGUCGUCAGCUCGUGUUGUGAAAUGUUGGGUUAAGUCCCGCAACGAGCGCAACCCUUAUCCUUUGUUGCCAGCGAUUUGGUCGGGAACUCAAAGGAGACUGCCGAUGAUAAAUCGGAGGAAGGUGAGGAUGACGUCAAGU
rnacentral:rRNA from 1 species